AGUGAACGCUGGCGGUAGGCCUAACACAUGCAAGUCGAACGGCAGCACAGUAAGAGCUUGCUCUUACGGGUGGCGAGUGGCGGACGGGUGAGGAAUACAUCGGAAUCUACUUUUUCGUGGGGGAUAACGUAGGGAAACUUACGCUAAUACCGCAUACGACCUACGGGUGAAAGCAGGGGAUCUUCGGACCUUGCGCGAUUGAAUGAGCCGAUGUCGGAUUAGCUAGUUGGCGGGGUAAAGGCCCACCAAGGCGACGAUCCGUAGCUGGUCUGAGAGGAUGAUCAGCCACACUGGAACUGAGACACGGUCCAGACUCCUACGGGAGGCGGCAGUGGGGAAUAUUGGACAAUGGGCGCAAGCCUGAUCCAGCCAUACCGCGUGGGUGAAGAAGGCCUUCGGGUUGUAAAGCCCUUUUGUUGGGAAAGAAAAGCAGCAGGUUAAUACCCCGCUGCUCUGACGGUACCCAAAGAAUAAGCACCGGCUAACUUCGUG
rnacentral:rRNA from 1 species